UUUUUGUCUUUUUCAAAAUGAAAUUCCAACUCCACUGAACCCUUUUUUUUUCGUUAGUUAUUUAAGUAUUAAACGUAGGCUGCUACAAAUGUCCUGCCUCAAAGCUGCUAUCAAGAUGAGAGGGGAAAAUAUUUAACAUACUAAAAAGAUUUUCGGUCUAUAGACCAUAAUGAGCUAGUUUUGCUUCUCCCAAAUCAUGAAGGUUCUGGCAUUUCGAAGCCCAUUGCUUUCAGAGACUUUAACCGAUUUAUAACUAUUUAUACGUAAAGGUCCAUCAGAAGGGAAGAUUUGGUCAUUUGGCGCCAGUUUGCUAAAAAGAAAGGAAAUUUCAUCUUUAAACGAAAUAAAAUUCUGUCACGAAAAUCCGUCCACUUCGAUUGUUUUCUUGCCUUUUCUUUUAACAAAACACACAAAAUCGUCCCCGUCUAGAAAUCUAUAGUAACCGGAAACCUUUGUGAAUAACUGCAAUAAAAGGGGACCUUGUAUCCAAACGAUAAUGUUCUUGCUCGCAGUUUAGUCCUGGGUCUAAAAUAGAGGACAAGCCCUCGCGUCUCCUUGAAAAGAAAAUCGAACUUUCAAUACUCCUGGUUCACACUCGGGUAUCACCUGUCGCAGGGUUCGGGUAAAAUGCGAGAAGUUUGCACAAUACGGGGAGAGGUGUUUGAAUUCAACUGCAUUCCCUCAAUAAAAGUCACACUUUUCACCCUUAAUGUUCUUUACUGCUCUGUUUAUUGUCUUGAGCGAGACUUAUUUCAAAUUUAAAGGACGUUAGGAGCAGCUCAAAUCUCAUUGUCUAUUAAUUGAGCUGACACAAGUUUGGGUGUGUAGUUCAU